rnacentral:rRNA from 1 species
GUGAACGCUGGCGGUAGGCCUAACACAUGCAAGUCGAACGGCAGCACAGUAAGAGCUUGCUCUUACGGGUGGCGAGUGGCGGACGGGUGAGGAAUACAUCGGAAUCUACUUUUUCGUGGGGGAUAACGUAGGGAAACUUACGCUAAUACCGCAUACGACCUACGGGUGAAAGCAGGGGAUCUUCGGACCUUGCGCGAUUGAAUGAGCCGAUGUCGGAUUAGCUAGUUGGCGGGGUAAAGGCCCACCAAGGCGACGAUCCGUAGCUGGUCUGAGAGGAUGAUCAGCCCCACUGGAACUGAGACACGGUCCAGACUCCUACGGGAGGCAGCAGUGGGGAAUAUUGGACAAUGGGCGCAAGCCUGAUCCAGCCAUACCGCGUGGGUGAAGAAGGCCUUCGGGUUGUAAAGCCCUUUUGUUGGGAAAGAAAAGCAGCAGGUUAAUACCCCGCUGUUCUGACGGUACCCAAAGAAUAAGCACCGGCUAACUUCGUG